UACGGGGGGGGCAAGCGUUGUUCGGAAUUACUGGGCGUAAAGGGCUCGUAGGCGGCCAACUAAGUCAGACGUGAAAUCCCUCGGCUUAACCGGGGAACUGCGUCUGAUACUGGAUGGCUAGAGGUUGGGAGAGGGAUGCGGAAUUCCAGGUGUAGCGGUGAAAUGCGUAGAUAUCAGGAGGAACACCGGUGGCGAAGGCGGAUCUCUGGGCCAUUACUGACGCUGAGGAGCGAAAGCGUGGGGAGCGAACAGG
rnacentral:rRNA from 1 species